CUGCCUCCCUCCCCCCUGGCAUGCCUGGCACGGAAGUGAGGACCUGGCGGCUGGCUUCAGGGUCUGCAGAACCCUCUCCGUCUGCCUUGUGGUUCCCAAACGGAGCCUCAGCCCAUCCGAAGAUGGCCUGGAGACAGCUGCUUCUCGCCUGCUGUCUCUCAGCUGCUGUGCUCCUCACUACGCUGCAGGAGGGCACUGGUGCAUCGGUGGGCACCCAGCAGGAGGCAGGACAAGACGUUCGGGAAGAUGUGGAACAGAAGAUCUUCAUGCAGGAAUCAGAUGCUUCAAAUUUCCUCAAGAGGCGUGGCAAGCGGUCCCCAAAAUCCCAAGAUGAGGUCAACGUGGCUUUCUGGUACCUGGAGCACACUGGGGCUCAAGGUGGGUCAAAAGGAAGAUGGUGCCAUGACAGCGGAGAACAGGCAGAAGCUGCGGGCCAAUGAGCUUCGGAGAGAGUACUAUGAGGAACAAAGGAACGAGUUUGAGAACUUCGUGGAGGAGCAAAAUGAUGAACAGGAAGAGAGAAGCCGGGAAGCUAUUGAGCAAUGGCGCCAGUGGCAUUACGACGGCCUGCAUCCAUCAUAUCUCUAUAACCGCCACCACAUCUGACCUCAUUUUGACAGAGCAGGAAGAUGGAGCUUGAAACUCACAAACCUACCCCAGGUGUCUGACCAACGCCUCCACACCAGCAGGCUCCUUCACAGGGUCUCAACUGGGGGGGCUCCUGGGGGGGGGGGGGCUGCCGUGGUAAACACACAGGCCUUUUGUUCUGAUGUUUUAAGAUGUCCUGGCUUUUGCUUCUUUGCAGAUGAUUUUCUGAGGUGAGCAAACACCUGCGGGGCCUCCUGGCACCAAACCUUCAGUGACGUCCCCUUAUUUAGCCUUUGUUCCCACAGUUAAGACUCCUGUCCUGUAGAACAAUGAGAAGGGUCGCAAUAAAGACGACAGAUGACGUGUUCGCUUAAGGCUUAGAAAUAAAAUUGCUGAGUCAACACUGUA